CACGUAGGGGGCAAGCGUUGUCCGGAUUUAUUGGGCGUAAAGAGCUCGUAGGUGGUUCGGUAAGUCGGGUGUGAAACCUCCAGGCUCAACCUGGAGACGCCACCCGAUACUGCUGUGACUGGAGUCCGGUAGGGGAGCGUGGAAUUCCUGGUGUAGCGGUGAAAUGCGCAGAUAUCAGGAGGAACACCGGUGGCGAAGGCGGAUCUCUGGGCCAUUACUGACGCUGAGGAGCGAAAGCGUGGGGAGCGAACAGG
rnacentral:rRNA from 1 species